rnacentral:misc_RNA from 1 species
UCCUCUCUCAAACCCCCGGGUUUGGUGUUGGACCGCGUUGGCCUUCACCGGCCAACUGGUCUCAAAGACAAUGACGGCGUCCCAGGGACCCUCUUCGCACUGAGCUUUCCGGAGCACGCGUAGAGUUUCAAGGGCCCAGGGACCCGGUCGCCUCUAAAAAACUUCUUUUCA